rnacentral:misc_RNA from 1 species
AGAAAAUUAUGCGGCUUUGGACUUUUAAAAUUUCGACUAUAAAUCUCUCCUAAGAAUCUUGGUACAAAUCUUUCCAAAUUCUAGAAAAUCUAAGACAGAAUGUACAAGAUGCGAUCCCUAGCUUGUUUGUGACUUCUUGUAUUUAUAUCUGGCAUAAAAACCAUCAAUUUGGAGUCCUAGAGACCUUAGAAGUCUGUCCAAAUU